UUCAAGACUGUGCCAGUUAAA
rnacentral:piRNA from 1 species